GAUGAACGCUGGCGGCGUGCCUAAUACAUGCAAGUCGAGCGAACAGACGAGGAGCUUGCUCCUCUGACGUUAGCGGCGGACGGGUGAGUAACACGUGGAUAACCUACCUAUAAGACUGGGAUAACUUCGGGAAACCGGAGCUAAUACCGGAUAAUAUAUUGAACCGCAUGGUUCAAUAGUGAAAGACGGUUUUGCUGUCACUUAUAGAUGGAUCCGCGCCGCAUUAGCUAGUUGGUAAGGUAACGGCUUACCAAGGCAACGAUGGUGAGCCGACCUGAGAGGGUGAUGGGCCACACUGGAACUGAGACACGGUCAAGACUCCUACGGGAGGCAGCAGUAGGGAAUCUUCAGCAAUGGGCGAAAGCCUGACGGAGCAACGCCGCGUGAGUGAUGAAGGUCUUCGGAUCGUAAAACUAUGUUAUUAGGGAAGAACAAAUGUGUAAGUAACUAUGCACGUCUUGACGGUACCUAAUCAGAAAGCCACGGCUAACUACGUG
rnacentral:rRNA from 1 species